UACGUAGGGUCCGAGCGUUUGUCCGGAUUUAUUGGGCGUAAAGAGCUCGUAGGCGGUUCCGUAAGUCAGAUGUGAAAACUCAGGGCUCAACCCGGAGACGCCAUCUGAUACUGCGGUGACUGGAGUCUGGUAGGGGAACACGGAAUUCCUGGUGUAGCGGUGAAAUGCGCAGAUAUCAGGAGGAACACCGAUGGCGAAGGCAGUGUUCUGGGCCAGUACUGACGCUGAGGAGCGAAAGCGUGGGGAGCAAACAGG
rnacentral:rRNA from 1 species